rnacentral:rRNA from 1 species
CAGUAGCCGCGGGAAUACGAAGGGUGCAAGCGUUACUCGGAAUUACUGGGCGUAAGGCGUGCGUAGGUGGUGGUUUAAGUCCGUUGUGAAAGCCCUGGGCUCAACCUGGGAAUUGCAGUGGAUACUGGGUCACUAGAGUGUGGUAGAGGAUAGUGGAAUUUCCGGUGUAGCAGUGAAAUGCGUAGAGAUCGGAAGGAACAUCUGUGGCGAAGGCGACUAUCUGGGCCAACACUGACACUGAGGCACGAAAGCGUGGGGAGCAAACAGGAUUAGAUACCCCAGUAGUCCCUGUCUCUUAUAC